GGGGCCAUGCGGGAAUCGAACCCGGGUCGUAGCGGUCGAGAACCAACAGUUUAGACCAUCCUUCCAACGACCC